AGCUUUGCGCAGUGGCAGUAUCGUAGCCUAUGAGGUUUAUCCGAGGCGUGAUUAUUGCUAAUUGAAAACUUUACCCAAUACCCCGCCAUGACGACUUGAAAUAUAGUCGGCANN
rnacentral:snRNA from 12 species